rnacentral:rRNA from 1 species
UACAGAGGGGGCAAGCGUUGUUCGGAAUUACUGGGCGUAAAGGGCGCGUAGGCGGCCUGCUAAGUCGAACGUGAAAUCCCUGGGCUCAACCCAGGAACUGCGUCCGAUACUGGUUGGCUUGAAUCCGGGAGAGGGACGUGGAAUUCCCAGUGUAGAGGUGAAAUUCGUAGAUAUUGGGAAGAACACCGGUGGCGAAGGCGGCUCUCUGGACCGAGACUGACGCUGAGGCGCGAAAGCGUGGGGAGCAAACAGG